AGCGGGGGCAGGGCUGAUCGAAUUAGCCCAAUUCAAAUCCUAACUUUUAGAUGCCAUUUUUGGACUUCAGAGACCGAUAGGUCUGCAGAGGUCUGAUACAGUCUUUGAAGUCCCAAAAAUGGGCAUCUAAACGCUAGACUGAGAGCUUGAGGUGAGACUUGAACUCAAAAAGGAAUGGGGAUUUCCUUUGGAGCGCCCAUCUCUUGUACCGGCAAGACAUUUAAGAGCAUUCUGACACCGCGUUUGGUUGGAGGAAGAGAGCUCGAGAGACACAAGCGAGCCUCAGAUUUGAAGGGGCAUCGGAGAUACCCCGGAGAACCGUGGAUCGCAGCUUUUGUGGACGAACACCCAAGUUCUCUUCCUUGAUUCGGUCUUAAUCGGAGCAACGUACGCUACGAUGAUGAAGACAUCAGCUAUCAUAUUUCUUUGUUCUUUAUUCGUAAGUAGCUGUGUCGGAAGUAUUUGGAUGAAGACAUACGUUAAAAUCGAAAACAACGUGCCGGCUGGAACUCUAAUGGUUCAUUGUGAAUCCAAGAACGAUGAUCUCGGAAUCCAUCAUAUAAAGGGUAGUUGGGAAUUCUGAAUUUGUACCCAGAUUCUUCGGGGGGGACAUUGUUCUUUUGAAGCUUUGCAUGGCCUGGUCAAAUUGUAUGGUUUGAUAUAUAUGUGCAAAGCAGAGACCAGGAUAUAUGCACCCAGUGUACUUGGAAGAUUUCGCCGGAUGGUCCUUGUAGGCUCGAUGAACAGUUCAAGGUCUGUUAUCCUUGGAAUGCUCCGUCAUAGUUAGGGACCUCUUUUGACAUCUCGUUUUGGCCACAUUCCAUCAACAAUGAUACCAUUGCUUCGUUCUUCACCAAUUUCUUUAUUACCUCGCGAAAGCUAUGAAGUUGUCGCCAGAUUUCACCGCCGAGGUCACUGCCUUCACCAGAGAUAAUGUGGUCGCGCCGGUUCUGCAGUCAGAUGGUGAUAUGUUAGUGAGAUACAAGCUGGAGCAGCUGGCCUUACGAGUUCUUCUGCGUCCUUAACUGCUGGAAAUUUUCUUUCUUCAAUUUCGACUAUAUUUGCUUAUAUGUGUAUGUAGUAUAUACUAAUUUCAGAAGCAGGCAGUUCCUAUUGUGCAACUUAACCUAAUACGCUUACUACCAGAUUUGAGUGUUGCCAUUAGCAAGUCUGAAGUUGUGGGUAUAUGAUACUGCUACUUUUUAUUGAAA